UGGAAAUGGCUGAUCUAACGUAAGUGGCUAAUCUGCAUGGAAAUCUGUGCCCAGUGAACAGAGAGAUGAAAAUUCCUGUAAUCUCCCUGUGGAGAGUUUGAACUCCAGGAUCUCUAGAGAUGGCACUGAAGCUCUUUCUGCAUGAGAUCGGUUGUAUGGGACCAGGCUGGAUGGUGGAAGCUCCCUCUAGGAAAGGGACCCCUGGUACAUGAAGGGAAGUUCCAGAAACCCCAAUCAGCUGGCAGUAGCAGGACUGGGACCGUCACCUGAGGGACAUGAAGAAACGUUCGUUACAAAAGUUCUCUUUGUAUGUCAGAAUUCUAUAGAGUCAUUUAGAAGUCAAGAAAAUAAAAUAGGAAUGGAUGACAAGCAGAACAGUGAUUACAGAAAGAAAAUGACUGUGCAGUUAUGGAAAAUCUUUUAUUGAAGAAAACAGACUCCUAUAAUCUUGUGGAAAAAUGGAAAUUGAUUAAAGGGGGUCUUCCCGGAACUUCUAGACGAGGCCUGUGGAUACCUCUCCCAUUCAUGAGCAGGUCUGCCCUGAGCUGGAGCCACCCCAACUGAAACGAACUCCCAAGCUGCUUAGUCUAACUAUCUACAUGCUUUGUUACUGAGCCUCACCCUCAGAGCACAGGCUUGGGGCAGCUGCCAGACCCCUGCAGGGCUCCCAAGGCUCCCUCACUACCUACUAAUGUGGAUCCCUUGAGUUGCCAGGCCUCUGCUCAGGGAAGCCUGACUCCCCACUAGGAUUGGCACUGGUUUCUGAACACUGCCUGAUGCCCAGGGGCCUGCUUUACCUGGCCUGACUGCAGGUGAUAUGCACCUGCCACAGCUCUCCACCCAUGGCCUGGCAUCUGCUUCCUCAUCUUGGCCCUCCUGGUGUUCUUUGGCUGAUGACCAAGACUGCUGGAUGGUGGGCUGUCCUUGGAUACCAGGCAUCUAGUGCCCUGACAGAAACUGGGCCUCAAUUCCUUCAUCCUUCCACCCUGCCUGGCACUAUCUGAGUCAUGACCCUCAGGUACUCUGCUCAUGCUGCAGGCUGCUCUCAGCAGCAACCUCCACUUUCAGAAAGUUCUACUGGCCUGUUUUGUGGGAGUCUCCUGUUGUGCUGCUUCUGCAUGACCACCCCCUCCUGCCCUUCCAUGGACAUCCUGACAAUAACCCAGGGUCAGAUACGAUGUUUGGACCCUGCCUUUAGGAAGCUUAUCAAAUUACAAGGUAAAUCAUAAUCCUUAGCAUUGCGGCGCAUUACAUCUGGGGUCUGUAUCUAACUGAACUCCCACUAAAUUUAUGUGACUUAACUCAAGGUCAUACAGCCAGUUAGGAGGUGUGGAGCUGGCAUCAGCAUUCAAUUGCCUCAUUCCUGUCUUACAGGAUAUUAGAGUCCACUGCUAUCUGUGUCUAUGCAUUAACAAAUCUUACCAAAGCUGCUGAAAUCUGGAAUUGAAAAUGAACCAUGUCCUAUAGAAAAACAG